rnacentral:rRNA from 1 species
GACGAACGCUGGCGGCGUGCUUAACACAUGCAAGUCGAACGGUGAGGAAGAGCUUGCUCUUCCGAUCAGUGGCGAACGGGUGAGUAACACGUGAGCAACCUGCCCUUGACUCUGGGAUAACAGUUGGAAACAGCUGCUAAUACCGGAUACGACCUCGACCGACAUCAGUUGAGGUGGAAAGCUCCGGCGGUCAAGGAUGGGCUCGCGGCCUAUCAGCUAGUUGGUGAGGUAACGGCUCACCAAGGCUUCGACGGGUAGCCGGCCUGAGAGGGCGACCGGCCACACUGGGACUGAGAUACGGCCCAGACUCCUACGGGAGGCAGCAGUGGGGAAUAUUGCACAAUGGGCGAAAGCCUGAUGCAGCAACGCCGCGUGCGGGAUGACGGCCUUCGGGUUGUAAACCGCUUUCAGCUCCGACGAAGCGCAAGUGACGGUAGGAGCAGAAGAAGGACCGGCCAACUACGUGCCAGCCGCCGCCGUAAUAC